GGGGUUGUGCCUCAGCGGUAGAGAGCUCGCCUAGUAUGUGAGGCUCUGGGUUCAAUCCUCAGCAACACUA
rnacentral:tRNA from 1 species